rnacentral:misc_RNA from 1 species
UUUUUUCUAUUCGUCACAUUUAUUUGAGAUUAAUUGUCAUUUAUAAUACUUUUAAACAAAUAUUUAGCAACUACAAUCUUAAUACUUAUAACUAAGUAUAGUUUUCUUUUUAUGAUUAAAAAAUAUCUUUUGCUUACAUAAGUAAAAAUACAGACAUGUUUCAUACAUUUUUACAUAUUCUUUUUUUGUUUGACAAGUAUUUAUAAAUUAAAAAAUAUAUAUCUAUACGAAUAAAUAAAAUUGGAGUGUCUAUUUGUAAUAUUUUUAACUUAAAACACUUUAUACUAAAUGCAUAUGGAUGUAUACACGAUACAUACCUUAUAGACAUCCAUAUGCAUUUAGUACCCUUCUGAAAGUUCCAAAUAAAAAACGAUGAUUGUAUGAGAAGUUAUUGUAAACUAUUGUGUGUUUGAAACAGGUAUUUCCAAAAUGUUCAUACAAUUUUUAUCUGUUUUAUCUUGGCUAUCUGGAUUCCAAAUAGAAAGAAUUUUGAAGUCCCCAUUUCAAACACACAAUAGUUUACAAUAACUUCCCAUACAAUCAUCGUUUUUUAUUUGGACUUUCAGCAGGGUAUACCAACAUAAAAUUCUUCACAAUUUUUGUCUGUCUGUCUGUCUGUUUGUUCCGGCUAAUCUCUGAAACAGCUGGAAAGAUUUUGACGGGACUUUCACUGGUUUAUUUAGAAAUUUAUUUAUUUUAUAGUUCUGGGAACUGAACAAUAGCUUUUUUGUUAUAUGCUACGCGGACGAGAUCGCGGGCACAGCUAGUAUGUAUGUAGUGUGUAUGUAACCUUAAAUAAUUUUACGGCUAUACAUACAAUAACUAUCCUCCUACCCGCAUUGGAGCAGCGUCGUGGAUUAAGCUCUGAUUCUUCUCUUACAUAGGGAAAGAGGCCUAUGCCCAGCAGUGAGAUUUUU